CUACGGGGUGCUGCAGUGGGGAAUAUUGCACAAUGGGCGCAAGCCUGAUGCAGCCAUGCCGCGUGUAUGAAGAAGGCCUUCGGGUUGUAAAGUACUUUCAGCGGGGAGGAAGGGAGUAAAGUUAAUACCUUUGCUCAUUGACGUUACCCGCAGAAGAAGCACCGGCUAACUCCGUGCCAGCAGCCGCGGUAAUACGGAGGGUGCAAGCGUUAAUCGGAAUUACUGGGCGUAAAGCGCACGCAGGCGGUUUGUUAAGUCAGAUGUGAAAUCCCCGGGCUCAACCUGGGAACUGCAUCUGAUACUGGCAAGCUUGAUGCUCGUAGAGGGGGGUAGAAUUCCAGGUGUAGCGGUGAAAUGCGUAGAGAUCUGGAGGAAUACCGGUGGCGAAGGCGGCCCCCUGGACGAAGACUGACGCUCAGGUGCGAAAGCGUGGGGAGCAAACAGGAUUAGAUACCCUCGUAGUC
rnacentral:rRNA from 1 species